AACGAACGCUGGCGGCAUGCCUAAUACAUGCAAGUCGAACGAGAUCUUCGGUUCUAGUGGCGCACGGGUGCGUAACGCGUGGGAAUCUGCCCUUGGGUUCGGAAUAACUUCUGGAAACGGAAGCUAAUCCCGGAUGAUUACGUAAGUCCAAAGAUUUAUCGCCCAAGGAUGAGCCCGCGUAGGAUUAGGUAGUUGGUGAGGUAAAGGCUCACCAAGCCGUCGAUCCUUAGCUGGUCUGAGAGGAGGAUCAGCCACACUGGGACUGAGACACGACCCAGACGCCUACGGGAGGCAGCAGUAGGGGAUAUUGGAGAAUGGGCGAAAGCCUGAUCCAGCAAUGCCGCGUGAGUGAUGAAGGCCUUAGGGUUGUAAAGCUCUUUUACCCGGGAUGAUAAUGACAGUACCGGGAGAAUAAGCACCGGCUAACUCCGUG
rnacentral:rRNA from 1 species